UUUGCAUGGUUUUAUUCUGUUUCUAUUGCAUGGUUUUUAGUGUUUUAUGUGACAUGGUUUUUAUCCACUGUGGACUGGCUGCACAUGGGACAAAUUAGCUGAUAGGGACCACCUGCUGAGGCAGGGGUGUGUCCAGAGGUGGCCUAUCAGCUGUGUAAAGACCUUUUAAAAACAGGCUAGCUGGGCACUGAAAGAGAGAGGCCCCAGACUGGAAGGUUAAUGCGAGAUGGCAAGUGUGAUGCGGCGACCAAGUCCUGACCUCAUGGAACGGCAACAGUAAGAGACAACGCGUGUGAUUGGCAGCAGGGCAGAGGUUUACCUCUGCCUGCAUUUGACACCGACGCAAGGGGAGCUGUGGCAGUGGUCGCAUCAUGGAUUCGGGUGCAGAACGCAAGCCGGGCUGGGAAGCGAUGGGCCAGCGGAAGGACAAGAAGAUGGGUGGCUCUUUCUUGUCUGCUGAAGACGGGGCUGGCGUGGACUCUGCUCUAAAGGAGGAAUUCCUGGCCUGCUGAUGGACCCAUAAUGAACAUGUGGCCUAAUUAUAGCAGGGGGGGUUUUAGUGAAUGUAGAAAAUGGUAGUUUUACGGGUUUUAGAAUUGUUUUUAGUAGAGAGCAAACAUUUUAUUACAUACAUUUUAAGGGUGUUUUUAUUUGUGCUCCCUGGCCUAGUAAUAAACUGUUUCUGAUCA